GCCCAGUAGCGUAGCGGUGAUCGCGUGGUAUAUAGUAGUGCUCCCGGGUUCAUACCCAAGGGCUGAUAUGCCAUAGCCCUGUUCGAAUCAGGGACUGGGCA